rnacentral:tRNA from 1 species
GGUGGCUCAGUGGUAGAGCACUUGCCUUGCAUGCAAGAGGCCCUGGGUUCGAUUCCUAAGCACCA